rnacentral:rRNA from 1 species
GACGAACGCUGGCGGCGUGCUUAACACAUGCAAGUCGAACGGAAAGGCCCUGCUUUUGUGGGGUGCUCGAGUGGCGAACGGGUGAGUAACACGUGAGUAACCUGCCCUUGACUUUGGGAUAACUUCAGGAAACUGGGGCUAAUACCGGAUAGGAGCUCCUGCUGCAUGGUGGGGGUUGGAAAGUUUCGGCGGUUGGGGAUGGACUCGCGGCUUAUCAGCUUGUUGGUGGGGUAGUGGCUUACCAAGGCUUUGACGGGUAGCCGGCCUGAGAGGGUGACCGGCCACCUUGGGACUGAGAGACGGCCCAGACUCCUACGGGAGGCAGCAGUGGGGAAUAUUGCACAAUGGGCGGACGCCUGAUGCAGCAACGCCGCGUGCGGGAUGACGGCCUUCGGGUUGUAAACCGCUUUCGCCUGUGCCGAAGCGUGAGUGACGGUAAUGGGUAAAGAAGCACCGGCUAACUACGUG